rfam:Triticum aestivum genome assembly, contig: Triticum_aestivum_CS42_TGACv1_scaffold_331006_4BS
UUUGUACUCCCUCUGUCCCAAAAUUCUUGUCUUAAAUUUGUCUAAAUACGGAUGUAUCUAGUUACAUUUUAGUGUUAGAUACAUCCGUAUCUAAAAAAAUGUAAGACAACAAUUUUGGGACGGAGGGAAUACUAC